AUUGAACGCUGGCGGCAGGCCUAACACAUGCAAGUCGAGCGGAGCGGCGGACGGGUGAGUAAUGCAUAGGAAUCUGCCUGGUAGUGGGGGAUAAAGUACGGAAACGGGCGCUAAUACCGACUACUAUCAGAUGGGCCUAGGUGGGAUUAGCUAGUUGGUGGGGUAAAGGCUUACCAAGGCGACGAUCCGUACCUGGUCUGCGAGGAUGAUCAGUCACACUGUAACUGAGACACGGUCCAGACUCCUACGGGAGGCAGCAGUGGGGAAUAUUGGACAAUGGGCGAAAGCCUGAUCCAGCCAUGCCGCGUGUGUGAAGAAGGUCUUCGGAUUGUAAAGCACUUUAAGCUGGGAGGCGUUACCAACAGAAGAAGCACCGGCUAACUUCGUGCCAGCAGCCGCGGUAAUUC
rnacentral:rRNA from 1 species